UACGGGGGGGGGCAAGCGUUGUUCGGAAUUACUGGGCGUAAAGGGCUCGUAGGCGGCCAACUAAGUCGGAUGUGAAAUCCCCAGGCUUAGCCUGGGAACUGCAUCCGAUACUGGAUGGCUUGAAUUCGGGAGAGGGAUGCAGAAUUCCAGGUGUAGCGGUGAAAUGCGUAGAUAUCUGGAGGAAUACCGGUGGCGAAGGCGGCAUCCUGGACCGAGAUUGACGCUGAUGAGCGAAAGCUAGGGGAGCAAACGGG
rnacentral:rRNA from 1 species